ACACCACUCAAGCCCCCGGGCUUGGCGUUGGGGAUCGGCAUCCGGCCUGGCGGCCCCUCGGGGCCCCGCCCGCCGUCCCCCAAAUACAUCGGCGGUCGCCCGUGGGCUCCCCUGCGUAGUAGCAACACCUCGCACCGGACGUCCCGCGCGGCCACGCCGUAAAACCCCCGACUUUUUUCAG
rnacentral:misc_RNA from 1 species